CAGAGGUGGCAAGCGUUGUUCGGAAUUACUGGGCGUAAAGGGCGCGUAGGCGGCCAUCUAAGUCAGACGUGAAAUCCCCCGGCUUAACCUGGGAACUGCGUCUGAUACUGGAAGGCUCGAGUAUGGGAGAGGGAUGUAGAAUUCCAGGUGUAGCGGUGAAAUGCGUAGAUAUCUGGAGGAAUACCGGUGGCGAAGGCGGCAUCCUGGACCAUUACUGACGCUGAGGCGCGAAAGCUAGGGGAGCAAACGGGAUUAGAUACCCCGGUAGUCCUAGCCCUAAACGAUGAAUGCUUGGUGUGGCGGGUAUCGAUCCCUGCCGUGCCGAAGCUAACGCAUUAAGCAUUCCGCCUGGGGAGUACGGUCGCAAGGCUG
rnacentral:rRNA from 1 species